rnacentral:rRNA from 1 species
GCAGUCGAACGAGAUCUUCGGAUCUAGUGGCGGACGGGUUAGUAACGCGUGGGAACGUACCCUUCACUACGGAAUAGUCCCGGGAAACUGGGUUUAAUACCGUAUACGCCCUUCGGGGGAAAGAAUUUCGGUGAGGGAUCGGCCCGCGUUAGAUUAGUUAGUUGGUGGGGUAAUGGCCUACCAAGACUACGAUCUAUAGCUGGUUUGAGAGGAUGAUCAGCAACACUGGGACUGAGACACGGCCCAGACUCCUACGGGAGGCAGCAGUGGGGAAUCUUAGACAAUGGGGGCAACCCUGAUCUAGCGAUGCCGCGUGAGUGAUGAAGGCCUUAGGGUCGUAAAGCUCUUUCGCCUGUGAUGAUAAUGACAGUAGCAGGUAAAGAAACCCCGGCUAACUCCGUGCCAGCAGCCGCGGUAAUACGGAGGGGGUUAGCGUUGUUCGGAAUUACUGGGCGUAAAGCGCACGUAGGCGGAUUAGUCAGUCAGAGGUGAAAUCCCAGGGCUCAACCCUGGAACUGCCUUUGAUACUGCUAGUCUUGAGUUCGAGAGAGGUAAGUGGAAUUCCGAGUGUAGAGGUGAAAUUCGUAGAUAUUCGGAGGAACACCAGUGGCGAAGGCGGCUUACUGGCUCGAUACUGACGCUGAGGUGCGAAAGUGUGGGGAGCAAACAGGAUUAGAUACCCUGGU